rnacentral:rRNA from 1 species
ACUCCUACGGGAGGCAGCAGUGAGGAAUAUUGGACAAUGGGCGCAAGCCUGAUCCAGCCAUGCCGCGUGCAGGAUGACGGUCCUAUGGAUUGUAAACUGCUUUUGUACUGGAAGAAACACUCCCUCGUGAGGGAGCUUGACGGUACUGUAAGAAUAAGGAUCGGCUAACUCCGUGCCAGCAGCCGCGGUAAUAC